rnacentral:rRNA from 1 species
UGGGGAAUAUUGCACAAUGGGCGCAAGCCUGAUGCAGCAACGCCGCGUGAACGAUGAAGGUCUUCGGAUCGUAAAGCUUUUUUGCAGGGGAAGAUAAUGACGGUACCUCGUGAGGAAGCCCCGGCUAACUACGUGCCAGCAGCCGCGGUAAUACGUAGGGGGCUAGCGUUAUCCGGAUUUACUGGGCGUAAAGGGUGCGUAGGUGGUCUUUCAAGUCGGUGGUUAAAGGCUACGGUUCAACCGUAGUUAGCCUCCGAAACUGUGAGAAUAGAGAGCAGGGGAGGAGAGGGGAAUUCCCAGUGUAGCGGUGAAAGGCGUAGAUAUUGGGAGGAACACCAGUAGCGAAGGCGGCUUUCUAGACUGCAAAUGACACUGAGACACGAAAGCGUGGGUAGCAAACAGG